GUACUUGCUUCGGCAGUACAUAUACUAAUACUGAAACUAUACAGAGAAUUUUAGCAUUGCUUUUAUGCAAAGAUAAAAUGAAAAGUAAAAAUUACAGAGAAUUC